UACGUAGGUGGCAAGCGUUGUCCGGAAUUAUUGGGCGUAAAGCGCGCGCAGGCGGCCUCUUAAGUCUGAUGUGAAAGCCCCCGACUCAACCGGGGAGGGCCAUUGGAAACUGGGAGGCUUGAGUAUAGGAGAGAAGAGUGGAAUUCCACGUGUAGCGGUGAAAUGCGUAGAGAUGUGGAGGAACACCAGUGGCGAAGGCGACUCUUUGGCCUAUAACUGACGCUGAGGCGCGAAAGCGUGGGGAGCAAACAGGG
rnacentral:rRNA from 1 species